CCUACGGGAGGCAGCAGUGAGGAAUAUUGGUCAAUGGGCGCAAGCCUGAACCAGCCAAGUCGCGUGAGGGAUGACGGUCCUAUGGAUUGUAAACCUCUUUUGUCGGGGAGCAAGGCCCGCAACGUGGGGAGGGAAGGAGAGAACCCGAAGAAAAAGCAUCGGCUAACUCCGUGCCAGAAGCCGCGGUAAUACGGAGGAUGCGAGCGUUAUCCGGAUUGAUUGGGUUUAAAGGGAGGGUAGAUGGGUUGUUAUGUCAGUUGUGAAAGUUUGCGGCUCAACCGUAAAAUUGCAAUUGAUACUGGCAGUCUUGAGUAAAGUGGAGGUAGGCGGAAUUCGUGGUGUAGCGGUGACAUGCUUAGAUAUCACGAAG
rnacentral:rRNA from 1 species